rnacentral:piRNA from 1 species
UCAGUGAAUGAGCAGGUGAACAAAUGAGC